UGAACGCUGGCGGCAUGCCUUACACAUGCAAGUCGAACGGUAACAGGUUAGGCUGACGAGUGGCGAACGGGUGAGUAAUGUAUCGGAACGUGCCCAGUCGUGGGGGAUAACUGCUCGAAAGAGCAGCUAAUACCGCAUACGACCUGAGGGUGAAAGCGGGGGAUCGCAAGACCUCGCGCGAUUGGAGCGGCCGAUAUCAGAUUAGGUAGUUGGUGAGGUAAAGGCUCACCAAGCCGACGAUCUGUAGCUGGUCUGAGAGGACGACCAGCCACACUGGGACUGAGACACGGCCCAGACUCCUACGGGAGGCAGCAGUGGGGAAUUUUGGACAAUGGGCGCAAGCCUGAUCCAGCCAUGCCGCGUGCGGGAAGAAGGCCUUCGGGUUGUAAACCGCUUUUGUCAGGGAAGAAAAGGUUCUGGCUAAUACCUGGGACUCAUGACGGUACCUGAAGAAUAAGCACCGGCUAACUACGUG
rnacentral:rRNA from 1 species